GACGAACGCUGGCGGCGCGCUUAACACAUGCAAGUCGAGCGAGAACCAGGGCUUCGGCCCUGGGGAAAGCGGCGAACGGGUGAGUAACACGUGAGUAAUCCACCCUCGGCACCGGGAUAGCCCGGGGAAACCCGGAUUAAUACCGGAUGGCCCGCCGGCCCUGCGGGGCUGGUGGAAAAGGUAGCUUCGGCCUCCGGCCGAGGACGAGCUCGCGGCGGAUUAGCUUGUUGGCGGGGUAACGGCCCACCAAGGCGACAAUCCGUAGCUGGUCUGAGAGGACGAUCGGCCACACUGGGACUGAGACACGGCCCAGACUCCUACGGGAGGCAGCAGUGGGGAAUCUUGCGCAAUGGGCGAAAGCCUGACGCAGCGACGCCGCGUGAGGGAAGAAGGCCUUCGGGUUGUAAACCUCUUUCAGUAGGGACGAAGCCACUCGGGUGAAUAGCCCAGAGGGUGACGGUACCUACAGAAGAAGCCCCGGCUAACUACGUGCCAGCCGCCGCCGUAACAC
rnacentral:rRNA from 1 species